rnacentral:rRNA from 1 species
CCUACGGUGGGCAGCAGUGAGGAAUAUUGGUCAAUGGGCGCGAGCCUGAACCAGCCAAGUCGCGUGAGGGAAGACGGUCCUAUGUAUUGUAAACCUCUUUUGUCGGGGAGCAAAAGACGCCACGCGUGGCGUUCCGAGAGUACACGAAGAAAACGCAUCGGCUAACUCCGUGCCAGCAGCCGCGGUAAUACGGAGGCUGCAAGUGUUAUCCGGAUUUAUUGGGUUAAAGGGGUGCGCAGGCGGAAGAUCAGGUCAGCGGUAAACUUGAGGGGCUCAACCUCUUCGAGCCGUUGAAACUGGUUUUCUUGAGUGAGUGAGAAGUAUGCGGAAUGCGUGGUGUAGCGGUGAAAUGCAUAGAUAUCACGCAGAACUCCGAUUGCGAAGGCAGCAUACCGGCGCUCAACUGACGCUCAUGCACGAAAGUGUGGGUAUCGAACAGGAUUAGAUACCCUUGUAGUC